GAUUACGGCCAUAACACACUGACAACGCCCUGAUCUCGUCUGAUCUUGGAAGCUAAGCAGAGUUGGGCUGGGUCAGUACUUGGAUGGGUGACCCCCUGGGAUAACCUGGUGCUGGAAGCA
rnacentral:rRNA from 1 species